GAUGAACGCUGGCGGCGCGCCUAAUACAUGCAAGUCGAGCGAAUGGAUUAAGAGCUUGCUCUUAUGAAGUUAGCGGCGGACGGGUGAGUAACACGUGGGUAACCUGCCCAUAAGACUGGGAUAACUCCGGGAAACCGGGGCUAAUACCGGAUAACAUUUUGAACCGCAUGGUUCGAAAUUGAAAGGCGGAUUCGGCUGUCACUUAUGGAUGGACCCGCGUCGCAUUAGCUAGUUGGUGAGGUAACGGCUCACCAAGGCAACGAUGCGUAGCCGACCUGAGAGGGUGAUCGGCCACACUGGGACUGAGCCACGACCCAGACUCCUACGUGAGGCAGCAGUAGGGAAUCUUCCGCAAUGGACGAAAGUCUGACGGAGCAACGCCGCGUGAGUGAUGAAGGCUUUCGGGUCGUAAAACUCUGUUGUUAGGGAAGAACAAGUGCUAGUUGAAUAAGCUGGCACCUUGACGGUACCUAACCAGAAGGCCACGGCUAACUACGUGCCAGCAGCCGCGGUAA
rnacentral:rRNA from 1 species